rnacentral:rRNA from 1 species
CCUACGGGCGGCAGCAGUCGAGAAUCAUUCACAAUGGGGGAAACCCUGAUGGUGCGACGCCGCGUGGGGGAAUGAAGGUCUUCGGAUUGUAAACCCCUGUCAUGUGGGAGCAAAUUAAAAAGAUCGUACCACAAGAGGAAGAGACGGCUAACUCUGUGCCAGCAGCCGCGGUAAUACAGAGGUCUCAAGCGUUGUUCGGAAUCACUGGGCGUAAGGCGUGCGUAGGCUGUUUCGUAAGUCGUGUGUGAAAGGCGCGGGCUCAACCCGCGGACGGCACAUGAUACUGCGAGACUAGAGUAAUGGAGGGGGAACCGGAAUUCUCGGUGUAGCAGUGAAAUGCGUAGAUAUCGAGAGGAACACUCGUGGCGAAGGCGGGUUCCUGGACAUUAACUGACGCUGAGGCACGAAGGCCAGGGGAGCGAAAGGGAUUAGAUACCCCUGUAGUC